GGGAAGGGGGGACAGACAAAGGAGGUGAUGAAGAUGAGAAACAUGUCUCAAAAGGCCUCAGGGUGCUGGCAAAGGAAGACCCAAGCCACCCCUCCCCAGGGCAGCAGCUGGGCCAGCUGGCAGCACUACUCAGGCCCUGACCCUGCCACCUGUGGCCAGUGCAUGACUUUUCCCACAGGUGCUGCCCUUCGCUUCCUUCCCAGGGCAGAUAGCUGGCGGGACUUCAGAACCUCGGGCAUGCCCGCCAAGAGGAAGGAGGAGCUGAGCUGGCCCUGCCGUGGUCAGCAAACUGAGACCUACAGAAGGAGAGAGCCCCAGCAGCAGCACCGUAGGAGGUGGCGCCUGAGAUCAAGGCCUCCUCAGGCUUCCCUGGUGACUCAGUGGUAAAGAAUCCACCUGCCAAUGCAGGAGACAUGGAUUCGAUCCCUGGUCCAGGAAGAUCCCACAUGCUGUGGAGCAACUAAGCCCAAGCGCCCCAACUUUAGAGACCUGUGCUGUAGAGCUGGGGAGCCACGACUACGGAGGCUGCACACCCGCGCUAGAGCCCAUGCUCCGCAACAAGAGAAGCCGCUGCAAUGAGAAGGCUGUGCGCCGCAGCAGAGAGCAGACCCGCUUGCUGCAACGAGGGAAAAGCCUAUGCAGUAGUGAAAGCCCAGCGCGGUCAAAACCACAUAAACAAAAUCAUAUAAUCUAUAUAAAUUAUAUAUAUAUAAAAGAUCAA